rnacentral:rRNA from 1 species
UACGAAGGGGGCUAGCGUUGCUCGGAAUUACUGGGCGUAAAGCGCACGUAGGCGGAUCUUUAAGUCAGGGGUGAAAUCCUGGAGCUCAACUCCAGAACUGCCUUUGAUACUGAGGACCUUGAGUUCGGGAGAGGUGAGUGGAACUGCGAGUGUAGAGGUGAAAUUCGUAGAUAUUCGCAAGAACACCAGUGGCGAAGGCGGCUCACUGGCCCGAUACUGACGCUGAGGUGCGAAAGCGUGGGAGCA